ensembl:snRNA U6 U6 spliceosomal RNA
AUGCUCCCUUUGGCAGUACACAUACUAAAAUUGGAACAAUACAGAGAAGAUUUGCAUGGUCUCUGCAAAAGAUGACAUGCAAAUUCAUGACGCAUUCUGUAAUUUU